GAUGAACGCUGGCGGCGUGCCUAAUACAUGCAAGUCGAGCGAACGGACGAGAAGCUUGCUUCUCUGAUGUUAGCGGCGGACGGGUGAGUAACACGUGGAUAACCUACCUAUAAGACUGGGAUAACUUCGGGAAACCGGAGCUAAUUCCGGAUAAUAUUUUGAACCGCAUGGUUCAAAAGUGAAAGACGGUUUUGCUGUCACUUAUAGAUGGAUCCGCGCUGCAUUAGCUAGUUGGUAAGGUAACGGCUUACCAAGGCAACGAUGCAUAGCCGACCUGAGAGGGUGAUCGGCCACACUGGAACUGAGACACGGUCCAGACUCCUACGGGAGGCAGCAGUAGGGAAUCUUCCGCAAUGGGCGAAAGCCUGACGGAGCAACGCCGCGUGAGUGAUGAAGGUCUUCGGAUCGUAAAACUCUGUUAUUAGGGAAGAACAUAUGUGUAAGUAACUGUGCACAUCUUGACGGUACCUAAUCAGAAAGCCACGGCUAACUACGUG
rnacentral:rRNA from 1 species